UACGGGGGGAGCAAGCGUUGUUCGGAUUUACUGGGCGUAAAGGGCGCGUAGGCGGUCGUGACAAGUCACUUGUGAAAUCUCCGGGCUUAACUCGGAACGGUCAAGUGAUACUGUCGGACUAGAGUACAGAAGGGGGCAACUGGAAUUCUCGGUGUAGCGGUGAAAUGCGUAGAUAUCGAAGAGGAACACCUGCGGCGAAGGCGGGUUGCUGGGCUGAUACUGACGUGAGGCGCGAAAGCCAGGGGAGCGAACGGG
rnacentral:rRNA from 1 species